CCUGUUUCAUGUUAAUAGUAUUCUGAUAAUAAAACCAAAAACUAUGAAAAUAAGUAGACCGAUAGAAAUUUGUUUUCAAAAACAGCCAUGCUCCACCAACUCACAAAUGCCAGAUUGAUAUAUAAAAAAGUAUCUUCCAUUCUCCAGCAAUAUUCAAGUUGAAGUUUAACCAAUCUGUAAAGUUGGUGUUGUAAACAAAUGCAGAUCAAUAUUUUUUUUGUAAUUUUUUUCAAACACUAAGGACCAAAAGGCAAGGCUUGUUGGACAAUCCCUAGAAAGGUGAAGGUAAUCUCCAACAGGAGCAUUACAAAUUUACAACGAAUUCAAGCAGGACUAAAAUCUGGGUUUUUUGUGCUAAAACACUAGCAGCAGGAAGAAAUUUCCACAAUACCUUAUAUUUGAAAGGGAUAUGACCUGUUGUUUUGAAUGCAGCCUCGAAAUGGUUCAUUGACCACUUAUGAGUUUUACAAAACUAAAUUUCCACAUUCUCUUCCAAGAGAAAUUAUUUAGGAAAGUAUUACAAUGUAAGCUCUCCAUUAAGGGUUUUAACUUCCAGCGAUACAUUUAGUAAUGAGUUUAUAUAUGGAGUUGCAUAACCCUAUAAGCCUAAAGUCUUUCAUGUAAGUAGGAGCUUCACUGAAAAGAAAAACAAGACGAUCUAAGUCCAUAUAACUUUUACUGAACAUAAAUUAUUUUUACCGAAUAUUAUUACGUUAAGGUGAAGAGAACAUGGCCUAAUUCUCCCAAAUAGCAAUCUAAUAAAAUAUAAAGGUUUUGAUUUCAGAUAAUCUCCCUCUAAUUUCAAGUACAUAUCUUUUCUGAUUUAAGAUUUUAAAAUAUAUACAGACUAUUAUAUCAAUGCAAUUGGCUAGGGAAAGAAAUCAUAGGCUCAAAUGUGAUAGCAGCUCAGAUAUGGUUAUAAAUCACAACUGAUUUUAAGUCAUUUAUAAUAUGUAGGAUUAUCGUAUCAACGCAAUUGGCUAGGGAAAAAAAUCAUAGGCUCGAAUGUGUAGCAACUCAUAUAUGAUUAUGAAUCACAAUUGAUUUAAGCCAUUUAACCUAUUAAGAAAGAAAUCAGGCUCGAUUUCACAUCUUUUCUUCUUUAAAAACCUCAUAUCAUAAAACAGAAAAUUGAGAAAUCAAGGAAAAAUAAGGUAGUGGGAAAAUGAAUUAAUAUCCAUAGUGAUAAGUAGAAUCAAUAUAGAUCAGCAUCUAAAUUGAUAAUUUCCUUAAAUUAUUUCUCUAUAUUCACAAUUCAAUGGCGACUAACUUAGUCAAGGGGGUGAAAUCCAAGACCGGGAAGUAAAUCCUGUCUACAUCAUCGCCUUUUGAAACCAAAAAAACAUUAUAAAUUCACAGCUGCUCUCUGCAUUUUCCAUCGUAAACUCAGUGGAACAGCAGACCAAAAAGUUACAAAUACAGGUCUCUCAUCUCUUACUUUUCCUGUUUACUACACAUAUUCAUCAAAAUCUCACAAAUUUUUUAAGACAUGGAGAAAUUUAAUGCAUUGAAUCCCAAUGCUCAGCCAUGGGAGCCAAAGCUUGAGAAAACAAAGAUAGAGGAUAGAUCCAUUUUUUUCACCUUUGCAAGAAAACGUCCCCUGUCAACCCAUCAGGUCACCAAUUUCUUUGCAAGAAAUUAUGGUGACUGCAUUGAGCAGAUUUAUGUGCACAACCCCAACCCUGAGCAACCCCCUUUGUUUGGACAGGUGGUUUUCACUAAGUGCACUGUACCGGCAAUGAUUUUAGGGGGUCAAGAAGAAAAGCGUUUUGUAAUAGAUAACAGGACAUUAUUUUGUAAGAAAUUCAAGCAUUAGGAAGCAACCAGGCCCAGCAAAACUUAUAUUGUAAGAUUGAGUCAUUAAUAAGAUAUUUUAAUGUA